GGAUUACAACUGCAACCUGUCUUCCGCUGGGAGCCCUCUGGUACGCUCACACUGAGGGCAUCUGAAGAUUGCCAGGACCAUCCAGAAGUAGGAGGGUACCAGUGUCAUCAGGGUGCUGAAGCAAAGACUUGUGAGGACAAAGGCUGAGAAGGAUGCAACUGUGGCCUGCAAUUCAGGGCGUUCCUGCGUAUGGGCAUUCCUGCAUCUGCAGGAGCCCCUAUUUAUACUUCUAUUGGUCAAGUUUUAAGCUAGGACAGGCGGGAGGCGGGGUCGCUCCAGUACAGUAUGUGGCGUUAAUGCACAAUAAAGUUGCCGAAAAAACCCACUGAAGAAGAGGAGGGACCAACAAUGAUUUGUGGAACUCUGUGAGCAUGGCAGGCUGGAAGAUGACCAUCCUGACCAGCUGAAGUGUGUUUUGGGACCCACCACCUCCACAACAGCAUCCAACAUGGCGUCAGCCACCUGGCCCGCCUGUACAUUGCCCUGACCUUCAAUGAGAGAACAGGAUAUUUGCCACACCUAGCAAGUGUGGAUAUGAAGUUCAACAACAUGCAACAUUUAUAUUAUGCAAGUAAUUGCCCAGCAAUGAGACAAUAAAGAUUUUCUGAAUCUGAAUGUGCUUGUUAGCUUUUACUGUCUAGUGGAGGUCAAAGAUUUUAAAAACAAAGCACUUAGCAAACAGCUAGUAUUUAAGUGGGCCAAGUCCCGUUCCUUCAAUCUUCUGGAUUCUCACUGUUGCAAAAUUCCAUUAACUUUCCACAAGUUUUUCCCAAAAUCCCGGUUGGAAGAUUCCCCGAAUCAGAGAGGAAUAAGAAGGAAAUCCAGACAACUCUAACCAGGAUACUCUAACCAGAGAAAACGUUUGACCUCUGUCAUUGCCAACAAAGGGUAUAUAACAAAGUAUUGAGAUAAACUUUUGUUAUUGACCAAAUACUUAUUUUCCACCAUAAUUUUCAAAUAAAUUCAUUAAAAAUCCUAUAAUGUGAUUUUCUGGAUUUUUUUUCUCAUUUUGUCUGUCAUAGUUGAAGUGUACCUAUGAUGAAAAUUACAGGCCUCUCUCAUCUUUUUAAGUGGGAGAACUUGCACAAUUGGUGGCUGACUAAAUGCUUUUUUGCCCCACUGUAUCCUCCAUGCAAAUGAAUGUUGAAAGAAGAGAUAUUUAAAAGUUAAUUGCUUAAAUGUUUGCAUGUCCAAAAGGCAUCCAUUUUGUGGAUCGACCCAGGUCCCUUAUGUAAUCGGCUUGACUUUUUCAAGGUGUUAUUACGUGCUCCACUAAGGCAGUUAUUUAUCUUAUAACUUGUCCUUGUGGUAAAAAUUAUGUAGGUAAAACAAAGUGCGAAUUAAAAGUACGUAUCUCAGAGCAUCGUAGCACCAUUAGGUGUAAAAACUUUACUUAUCCAGUUGCGGCCCACUUCUUGGAGGCAGGCCACUUGAUUUCGUCUCUGCGUUAUAUUGGCAUCGAACAUGUCACACUCCCUAGGAGAAGGGGUGACCUUGAUAAUUUAUUGUUAAAACGAGAGGAUGCCUGGAUCUUUAACUUAAAGAUCCUUGCGCCCUUCGGUCUCAACGUAGACUUUGAUCUGAAGCCAUUCUUGUGAUUAUUGUGACUUUGCCAUUGCAAUUGUUUGUAAGCUUGUGUAGUCAAAUUAAUCUAUGAUCAUAUGCUAUUCAUUUGUAUGCUGUUGUUUGUAUGACAUUUUAAUAUUUGUAUGCUGUUGUUUGUAUGACAUUUUAAUAUUUGAUAAUUAACCAAUGAUAUUAGGCCACUCUUGGCCAUGAUUACAGACACCUGUGUCUUUUGACACUACAUAAACGAGUCCUCCCGCAGUGUUUGUGAUUAUACCCUGAUGAAGACAGAUUGGCUGUCGAAACGUUGGUAAUUAAAUGUUUGCAUCUGA
ensembl:lncRNA